rnacentral:rRNA from 1 species
GACGAACGCUGGCGGCGUGCUUAACACAUGCAAGUCGAACGGAAAGGCCCUGCUUUUGUGGGGUGCUCGAGUGGCGAACGGGUGAGUAACACGUGAGUAACCUGCCCUUGACUUUGGGAUAACUUCAGGAAACUGGGGCUAAUACCGGAUAGGAGCUCCUGCUGCAUGGUGGGGGUUGGAAAGUUUCGGCGGUUGGGGAUGGACUCGCGGCUUAUCAGCUUGAUGGUGGGGUAGUGGCUUACCAAGGCUUUGACGGGUAGCCGGCCUGAGAGGGUGACCGGCCACAUUGGGACUGAGAUACGGCCCAGACUCCUACGGGAGGCAGCAGUGGAGAAUAUUGCACAGUGGGCGGAAGCCUGAUGCAGCAACGCCGCGUGCGGGAUGACGGCCUUCGGGUUGUAAACCGCUUUCGCCUGUGACGAAGCGUGAGUGACGGUAAUGGGUAAAGAAGCACCGGCUAACUACGUG